rnacentral:rRNA from 1 species
AUACGGAGGAUCCGAGCGUUAUCCGGAUUUAUUGGGUUUAAAGGGUGCGCAGGCGGCCAUUUAAGUCAGCGGUUAAAUCGUGGGGCUCAACCCCAUUCUGCCGUUGAUACUGGGUGGCUUGAUUGCGGUCGAGGUUGGCGGAAUUCGUUGUGUAGCGGUGAAAUGCAUAGAUAUGACGAAGAACACCGAUUGCGUAGGCAGCUGACCAGAUCGCAAAUGACGCUCAUGCACGAAAGUGCGGGGAUCGAACAGGAUUAGGUACCCUGGUAGUCCGCACAGUAAACGAUGAAUACUUGUUUUCGGCGAUAUAAUGUCGGAGGCAAAGCGAAAGCGAUAAGUAUUCCACCUGGGGAGUACGCCGGCAACGGUGAAACUCAAAGGAAUUGACGGGG